rnacentral:lncRNA from 1 species
UCCAGUUUUCAAAAUUUAGGUUUUUUUUUUACUUUUUGAAAUUUUUUGGAAAAAUCAUAGAUUGCAUAGUUUUACAGGAAUUGUAAAAAUUGGUCAUAAUCACAGAUACCAAAACACAGUUCUAAAAUAUCUCAAUUUCUACAUCUACCCAUAACGACCAUCAACUUCAUCAUAGAGAUACACAAAAGUCAUAUUACAUCACAACUCAUAUCAACAUGUUUUAUAGCAAUAUAUUACAAUA